rnacentral:rRNA from 1 species
UACGGAGGGUGCGAGCGUUGUCCGGAAUCACUGGGCGUAAAGGGCGCGUAGGUGGCGCGGGCAGUCAACGGUGAAAGUUCGGGGCUCAACCCUGAAUCGGCCGUCGAUACUCCCGGGCUUGAGCACUGUAGAGGCAGAUGGAAUUCCGGGUGUAGCGGUGGAAUGCGUAGAGAUCCGGAAGAACACCGGUGGCGAAGGCGGGUCUCUGGGCCGAUACUGACACUGAGGAGCGAAAGCGUGGGGAGCGAACAGG